rnacentral:lncRNA from 1 species
CAAUGUCGGAUCCUUAACCCACUGAGCAAGGCCAGGGGUCGAACCCCUAUCCUCAUGGAUACCUAGUCGGGUUCGUUUCCACUGAGCCACAAUAGGAAUUCCCUGAACAUUCUUAUUGAAAGUAAGGAUUAGCAUUUACUACACACGUACUCUAUGCAAGGGAUUUAGAUACGUUAUAUCAUUUCGUCUUCACAAUGACUCUUGGAUGCUGCCACCACUAUUGCUAAGCCAUUUGACAGACAAGGAAACUGAGGCACAGAAAUGACAAGUCACCUGCCUGAGGUCACACAGCUAGUAAGCAGCUGAACCAGAGUGUGAACUCCAGAGCCCCCUGCCUCCAAGUGUAUCUCCUGCAUUUGCCCCACGUUUCUGAAACAUCUAAGGCAGGCCCAGUCCCCCGUGAGCAGCUCGAAAUGAACGGGCACAUCCUGUCCUGGCCGAGAAGCAAAAAGGAGCGGCCCCGAGAACUGACAGGCUGGCACGUCUGGAGGCAAAGUCAAGCCAAUGGGAGCAGAUGGAGCCGAGGCGACAGAUGUUAAUGCAGUUUGCUUUUUCCAUAUGCUUUUCUGUUGAGCUGUAAUAAGUGAAUUGUUCUUUAAUAUCUGUCAGGAGCUUCCACUCUGAAGGCCAGUAGCAGUCACAGUCACUUGGAAAGACACAGGAAGCUGGCCUGGCUCUUGGCAUCAAAAAAGAAAGGUGCAGAGUGUCAAGAAAGAAGCUGCAGUGAGUUCCUGCAGUGGCUCAGCGAGUUAAGAACCAUGAAGAUGUAGGUUCGAACCCUGGCCUUGCUCAGUGGGUUAAGGAUCCAAUAUUGCCACUAGCUGCGGCACAGGUCACAGAUCCAGCUCAGAUCCGGAGUUUCUGUGGCUGUGGUGUAGGCCGGCAGCUAUAGCUCCAAUUCGACCCCAGCCUGGGAACCUCCAUGUGCUGCAGGUGUGCUGAAGGAAGGAAGGAUGGACAGGAGAGAGAGAGAGAGAGGGAGGGAGGGAGGAAGGAAGAAGCUACAAACACUGAUCUAGGCUUGUGAACCUGUGCGCACACACACACACACACACACACAGACACUGCCAGCCUGUCCUGACAGCCAGGUUCUCACUUGACUUUCUAGAGUCUUUGAAAGCCCAUGUCAGCAUCCUUCAUACUCAGCAGUAAGAUUCAAGUUUUUGGAUUUUUCCCUUUGGAAAAGAGAAAAGCUCCAAUUUAAAAAUAUGUAAAUGCCUCAAGCUUCUCUGUUGCUUGGGACUUUCAAAGCAACCACGGUGUAUUAUCUUAAUGAACUAAAGCAAGAACACUCUGGAACUCUGUCUUUCGGCCCAUCUCAGGAUCCUUCACGUGUCUGGGGUCAGACUCGCAGCCCCAUCACCGCCAUCCCAGGGGGUGGGGUUUGACAGUGGUGCCUGAGGCAGUAAUUUUCCACUCGUAUUUCCAUUUGACAGCCACGUUAACUUUCAGAGCCUCGCCGACUUCACUUUCUUUGGAAGAGAUGGCUGUGACGCUGUUGGCAGCAACAAAACCCCCUGCGCCCUUAAAGCCACAGAAGGAGCACAGAGUGAAUGGGUCCCUGCCUUCACUAUUCCUGAUCAACACAGAGCAGCGAGUAAGACCCGAAUUGAACCUCAGCAUCACCCCUGACAGGCCGAGUGACCUUGGGCCAGUUACUUCUCACAUCUCCAAGCCUCAGUUUCCUCAUCUGGAAAGUGGGGGGAAACAGCAUUGCCCUCAGUGGGCUUGCUAUGAAGAUCAGAUAGGAAAACAUGGGUGAGGAGUUCCCUUCGUCACUUAGCGGUUAAUGAACCCAACUAGUAUCCAUGAGGAUGCGGGUUUGAUCCCUGGCCUCGCUCAGUGGGUUAAGGAUCUGGCGUUGCCGUGAGCUGUGGGGCAGGUCACAGACGUGGCUUGGAUCCCGAGUUGCUGUGGCUGUGGUGUAGGCUGGUGGCUACAGCCCCGAUUCGACGCCUAACCUGGGAACUGGGAACUUCCAUAUGCUAUGGGUAUGGCCCUAAACACCAAAAAGAAAACGAAAAAAAGAAAGUGUGGGCAAAGUGCUUAGCCAGGUGACCAGAACACAGCAUGCAUUCCAAGAAGAGCAGCUUUGUAUUAUUACUAUUACUGCUACUACUAUUCUAUCCAUUGUUACUGUUUACUUCUUAUUCAUUCAUCCCACCAAUAUUUGAGCAUCUCAGGGCAACACCUACUGUUCCAGGAGCUAGGUAGUAAACAAAACAGAUCCAUGGCCUUGACAUUCUGUAGGUGGCGAGAUGAGAGAGUAACAGAUGGUUGUCCUUUGUCCUUGAGGGAAAGGCAGAGCAGGACAGAGGUGGGGGAUGACACUGCAGAUGAGGGUCAGGGAGGACGCUUCUGAGGAGGUGGCACUUGGGCCCAAGGGCAAGGAGGAGCUGACACAAGGAGACUCUGGGCGAGAGGUAUCUGGCAUCAGGAACAGAAGAGCCCUGAGGCAGCGAUGAGCUGGGCCUAUCUGGGCAGCGGGAAGAGGCCGGUAGCGGGGGUGGGGUGGGGGUGAGUGGGGCGGGGAGGUGUGGCUAUGAUGUGGAUACAGGGUCUGAGGUGGGACUGGCAGAGGAAGGCAGGGGUCUGAUGGCAGGGGGGCUUGCUGUCCACCCAAAGGGAGGGAGUCCAGAUCUCAUCCUAUGAACUUGGGAAGACACCAGAGGCUAUUCACUUAUUUAUUUAUUUUUAGGGCCACACCCGUGGCAUAUGGAGGUUCUCAGGUUAGGGGCGGAAUGGGAGCUGCAGCUGCAGGCCUACACCACAGCUCACGGCAAUGCCAGAUCCCUAACCCACGGAGCCAGGCCAGGGAUCAAACCUGCAUCCUCAUGGAUACUAGUUGGGUUCAUUACCUCUGAGCCAUGAGGGGUAACUUCACCAGAGGCUUUUUAAGCAGGAGGGCGGGCCGUGAUCAGACUUGGGCUUCACAAAGGUGGCUCUGGCUGGUGCGUGAAGGGGCGCUUAUGCUCACCACUCACAGAGGCGGGCAGGAAGGGAGGAGCGGGGACAGAGGCGCGGGCAGCCCUCACCAAGUCCAUGAUGAUGAGAACCCAUGUGGGGUGCUGUUCUGGCCUCCCCCCCACGCCAGGGUGCUAUCAGGGAUGGGCGGGGCACUGGCACAAGUAAAAACCAGAAGUCUUGGCAGUCUCGGGCUGCAAGCUUGGGUGACCACCAUGACCCAGCACCCCGUUGUGAUCUCACGCCAGUAAAUGGCCCUAAAUCGCAAUUCUAAUGAGCCUCAAGUACCAGGGGGAGCUGAUUAAUUUGAAGCCCUCCAGAAGUGCUGGGGACCAGGGCUGGUCUGACCUGCUCUCAGGAGAUCCCUGUCGAGUCAGUGGUGGAAUUAAUGGCUUUGGAAUUGCCCACCAGACUGGGGCUCUGACUCCUUGUGACCUGGGGCAGCCCUGACCCCACGAUGGUCUCAGGGUGGGAGGUGCCCCCCUGCUGGACAGCAAAGGGCACUGCGUGUUCAUGCCCAGAAGCAAGAAUCAGUAUUCAAGCCCAGUGAUGGCAAAUUUCACCCCUGUCUGGAAGGGCUGCUUUCUGCUGGUGCCUCGGCCAGGAAUGCAGUUCACCUUAUUAGAAGCUGGGGUUCAAUGGACCCCUGCUUUCCGUGUUUCCCGUUUCACAGUCCUGGGUUUGCCAGACAAGCUCCUCCUCCUCUGCAUCUGCGGAGGCCUGUUCUCACCUCCACGUUGCACUUGGGUUCCCUGUUAGCAUGGGUGUAACCUUCAUCCAAGUAUGUCCUUCCAGAAUUCCCGGUGUGGCUCAGUGGGUUAAGGACCUGAUGUUGUAUCUGUGAGGGUGCGGGUUCGGUCCCUGGAUUUGCUCAGUGGGUUAAGGAUCCGGCAUUGCUGCCAGCUGCAAUGUAGGUUGGAUCCAGUAUUUCCGUGGCUGUGGCGUAGGCUGGCAGGUGCAGCUCUGAUGUGACCCUAGCUUGUGAACUUUCAUAUGCCGUGGGUGUGGCUGUAAAAAAAGAACAGCAAAGUCUUUCUGAGGAACAGAACUACUCACGUUUAUAACCCCCAAGGGUCUAGCCCCAAACCUGAGGGGUGUGUGUGCAUGCAUGUGAGUGCAAGCACGUGCACGCCUGUGUUGUGAGUUAUGCCAACCAUCACACCAGCAGCAGCUAACACAUGAGCACAGGUGCCACCCUACAUGUGUGAUACACCUGACUUGCCCUCAAUAAACCUGUGGCUCAUGACUCCCACUUUACAGACAAAGAAACUGAGGCUCAAGAUGGCUAAGAAACCUGCCCAAGGUCUCAGGGCUAAUAACUGGUAGGACUGGGGAUUUGAACCAGGCUCCUUGAAGCCUAUAAAUCAAGCCCCUUUACCACUACUCUUACUUGAAAGGGUAGACAGGGAGCCCUGGUUAGAGGUGGCUAGUGGGGGUAGGAAGGUGGGUAGGUCUGUUAAGACCAUCGAGGAAGAGGAUGGCGGAUGCAAAGUUAGAACUACUCUCUUCUUGGUCUUGAUUGAACAGUGGACAUGCCCAUUGGCUUGUCGACGUACAAGCUGCUUUUUCUUGCAUCUCAAACUACCCAUCCUCAAUUAUCCAUGCUGCAUAUUCAUGACAAAUUCUUUAGCCCAGAUGACUUGUCACCUACACGGAUCCUUGGUCGUAACAGCCCUAAAAACUGGCUUAUAUGGCUGAUAUUUAUGAGGUAACAAAAUUGGCACUUUUUUAUUAAUUCAUUUAAUCCUCACCAUAAUCCCAUAGGAAGGUAUUAUUGUUAUCAGCCAAAUUUUAAAGAUGAAUAAACUGAGGCAGCGAGAGUUUAAGUAACUUGCCCAAGCUUUCAUAGCUAGCAAGUGGCAGAACAGAAUUUGAACCCAGGACAUCUGCCCUCUUAACUGACAGGGGUAAUCAUUAUUGACCACAUAUUUUUACUUUUUUUUUUCAUUUUUCAAAUACUUGAUAUGAUAAAUAAACUCAUGAUUCCAGUACUAUUUUCAAUUCUGUUUCACAGAUGAGGUUCAGAGUAGUUGAACUCUCCCAACAGUAUCCAGCCCAGGCCGCUGCUUGCUCAAACCACAGCUUUGCGAGAAUUACAAAAGGAGAUGUGCCUUACUCUAAGCAACUAUAGUGCUGAGUUUAGCUCACGCCUU